rnacentral:rRNA from 1 species
UUGGGGAAUAUUGGACAAUGGGCGAAAGCCUGAUCCAGCCAUGCCGCGUGUGUGAAGAAGGUCUUCGGAUUGUAAAGCACUUUAAGUUGGGAGGAAGGGCAGUAAGCGAAUACCUUGCUGUUUUGACGUUACCGACAGAAUAAGCACCGGCUAACUCUGUGCCAGCAGCCGCGGUAAUACAGAGGGUGCAAGCGUUAAUCGGAAUUACUGGGCGUAAAGCGCGCGUAGGUGGUUCGUUAAGUUGGAUGUGAAAUCCCCGGGCUCAACCUGGGAACUGCAUCCAAAACUGGCGAGCUAGAGUAGGGCAGAGGGUGGUGGAAUUUCCUGUGUAGCGGUGAAAUGCGUAGAUAUAGGAAGGAACACCAGUGGCGAAGGCGACCACCUGGGCUCAUACUGACACUGAGGUGCGAAAGCGUGGGGAGCAAACAGGAUUAGAUACCCUUGUAGUCC